rnacentral:rRNA from 1 species
AUGGCUACGAAGAAAUAUUUCUUCUGCUAUGGAUCCUUCUCGAUUAAGGACGGCUCGGAAAUUAGAUUCUGGGAGGACAAGUGGCUAGGAAAUGCCACACUCCGGGAACAAUAUCCGGCUCUAUACAACAUUGUACGCCACAAAGGUGAUACUAUCGCCACGGUAAUGGAAUCAUUUCCACCAAAUGUGACGUUCAGAAGAGACUUAAUUGGACCCAGACUCCAAUCGUGGAAUAUCCUGCUCCAACGGUUGUCCACGGUGCAAUUGUCACAUGGGUCUGAUGUAUUCCGAUGGUACCUCCAUGGGAAUGGAAAAUUCUCAGUGGAUUCUAUGUAUAGAGCGUUAAUUCAGUCCGAUGUGCCAGUUGUUAAUAGCAAGAAGAUCUGGAAGAUGAAGAUACCUCUUAAGAAUAAAAUCUUUGCAUGGUAUCUUCGUCGCGGAGUCAUUCUUACUAAAGAUAACCUUAUUAAGAGGAAUUGA